GAUGAACGCUGGCGGCGUGCCUAAUACAUGCAAGUCGAGCGAACGGACGAGAAGCUUGCUUCUCUGAUGUUAGCGGCGGACGGGUGAGUAACACGUGGAUAACCUACCUAUAAGACUGGGAUAACUUCGGGAAACCGGAGCUAAUACCGGAUGAUAUUUUGAACCGCAUGGUUCAAAAGUGAAAGACGGUCUUGCUGUCACUUAUAGAUGGAUCCGCGCUGCAUUAGCUAGUUGGUAAGGUAACGGCUUACCAAGGCAACGAUGCAUAGCCGACCUGAGAGGGUGACCGGCCCCACGGGAACUGGGACACGGUCAGGACUCCUAGGGAGGGCAGAGGUGGGGAUUCUUCGCAAUGGGCGAAAGCCUGACGGAGCAACGCCGCGUGAGUGAUGAAGGUCUUCGGAUCGUAAAACUCUGUUAUUAGGGAAGAACAUAUGUGUAAGUAACUGUGCACAUCUUGACGGUACCUAAUCAGAAAGCCACGGCUAACUACGUG
rnacentral:rRNA from 1 species